rnacentral:lncRNA from 1 species
AGCAGCGAGGUGAGCACGACGCGCGCGGCGCUCUCCUCCCGCAGCUUCUGCCAGUGGCGGCUACCCUGGUCCAGCACGACCACCGCCGCCACACCGCCGCCGCCCUCCUGCAGCAGCCGAGCGCGGGCCGCCUCGUCGGGCAGCACGUAGCGCGCCGACACCGCGCCGCCCCGGGCCCGCCGCAGCACCACCGAGUUGAGGUUGACGUUGAGCGAGCCGCGCACGCUCGACGCGGCGAAGGCCAGGUAGGGCCGGCAGUCGAGCACCACGCAGCGCGCCUCCGCCUCCUUGCGGAGCAUCUUGCGCAGCUGGCGCCCGUCGAGCGACGUGACCUUCAUGCCGCUGCCACCCAGCGGCCCGACGCUGCGCGCCCCACAGCUGCCAGAGGACGGGCGGGCCACCUCGCGGGGGCUGUGGCCUGCAAACGGAGCCCGGCGCGAGGGGCCGCGCGACGCUCUCCACGCCCCGCUCGCUGGGCUCCCGGCCCCGCCGCUCGCUGCCCCAGAAAGCUGGGGAUUCCGCCGGCAGCGCAGCGUUUUAUGUGAAUGAGUGCGCGUCCUGUGACGUGAGUGCCCAUAUAAGGCCAAAUAUGGGUAUUUCCCCGCCCCCUGGCUGACCACGCCCAUGGGUGGAGCUUGCGGGCACCCGCCUCCACCCAAGGAGCAGGCUGGAGAGAGGGCGUCUUAGAGCGAGAAAGAGGAAGUGGCGGGCGAUCGCUCCCUCUCUCGGGGGGCCCGGCGCCGAGAGACUCACUCACGCAUCACCCCGGACUACCGGUGGAGUGUCAGGAACGCCACCAGGCCGAGGUGACCCACGCCGUGCGGGAAGAGGAGGUGACCGUGGCCGCGCUACGGAGCCCCUGGGGCCUCCCGGUGAAUCCCGGAUUCCGGUCGCUCCCGGUUGUGUCUGCGUUUGCAAGGAGAUUUAGCCUCUGAGAUGAGCCGAGAUGCGGCGUGGCUUGGUCAUCUUGAUACUGGGGGCUUCUUUCUAACACGUUACCCCCACUUUUGUUACCUUUUAAUUUUCCGUAAUAAAAGUUCCUGAGAG